GGAAAUAUGUCUGACAAAAGAAUUACUUUGAUAGAGUACAUAAUAGAGGUUACUAACCCUCUUAUUUCUA
rnacentral:tRNA from 1 species